rnacentral:rRNA from 1 species
UAGAGGAAGUAAAAGUCGUAACAAGGUUUCCGUAGGUGAACCUGCGGAAGGAUCAUUAUCGAAAUGAAUCUCGAGGGAAAGGCUUGGACGGUGGAGUGUGGACUGUCGCUGGCCAGAUCUUUUCUGGCAUGUGCACGUCUCUGCUCUCCGUCAAUCCUUCUCUUAUCUCUCACACACCUGUGCACCUGUCGUAGGUCCCUCGGGCCUAUGUUUUAUAUCGUCGCUCAGUCGUAUGUCCAUAGAAGGGGAUGAUCGUAAUAAAAUACAACUUUCAGCAACGGAUCUCUUGGCUCUCGCAUCGAUGAAGAACGCAGCGAAUUGCGAUAAGUAAUGUGAAUUGCAGAUUUUCAGUGAAUCAUCGAAUCUUUGAACGCACCUUGCGCUCCUUGGUAUUCCGAGGAGCAUGCCUGUUUGAGUGUCAUCGAAUUCUCAACCAUGUCUUGAUUCGUUUCGAGCCAUGGCUUGGAAUUGGAGGUUGCUGGCGUCGUUCAGCUCUUCUGAAAUGCAUUAGCGAUGGACUAGCUACAUGGCACGGCCUUUCGACGUGAUAACGAUCGUCGUGGGCUGGAGUGUACGGGGAAGUCUAUUUGCUUCGAAACAUGUGCUGGAGUCUCUUUGGAAGCUUUAAGCUAGUUACUAGUCAGAUCGAUCUCUGGCGAACGCAGCGACAAAGGCUUUUCGGUGGGGACUUUGGUCGUUUAGCGAUUCGACCUCAAAUCAGGUAGGACUACCCGCUGAACUUAAGCAUAUCA